AUGAAUUCUGCAGAGGACAGUUCUUCCUCUUCCACACAGAAGACCUCGGUCUGGGCCGACCAGCAAACAGCCACGCCACAGCUGGGAGUUAGCCCUCCGUCUCCCACACACUGCUUUGGGGAUGGGGAAGGAACCAGCUCUGCUAACCCAUCUGAAACACCCAUUUCAACCAGCCCUGCAACCCCAUCUGAAACACCAGUUUCAACCAACCCUUCUAGCCCAUCUCAAACACUUGUUUCACCCCAAAAAAGGAGGACAGCAGAGAAAGGAACCUUUGAUGCAUCACAGCCACAGGGUGAACGUCGCAAGAGGGGGAGGCCACGCAAACACAAGAAACCCCAGACUGACACAGAACACCAGAUCCAUCAGGCCCAGUCCCCGACAGCUACACAUCCAUGUUUACAGCCAGAGGACCAAACAGAGGCUGUGACACUGACACCCAACUUACCUGUAAUACCUGAGGACAGGUGUCAGUCACCUGAUGCCACUUUUGAACCACCAUGCCCCACCUUGGACUUACAGAGCACCAAUAAGGGACAGAGUAAGAACGGGCCCCAUCUCUCCAGUGCUUCUGUUGGACAAGGAGACCUAACAGGCCCUAAUGUUCUAACCACUGGUGGAUACACAUACUCACAGGCCAGGGUGAUGGGGGCUGAACCCAGCCAGAAUGACAGUAUCACUGCCACUGGGAUAUUUUUAAGCAAAUGUGCCAAAGGGCAAAGGACUCUGUGCCAGUCACCACAGAAUCUGAAAGAUGGGAGAAAGACUGCUAAAAAAUCACAAAUUCUUAAGGUCCACCAGCAACAGGAGAGUGAGACUGUGACAAAUGGGGAAAAUACAUCUAAACCCUUCCCGACUAUUAAGGUAGGACAGGAGAAUUGCCUGACACAAAAGACUGGGCGAAAAAGGAAAUAUACAAAAAAAUCACAGAGCCAUAAGGUAGACCAGCCAAGGGACACUGACCAGUCACAGGAGAGUGAGACAGUGAGAAAUGGGAAAAAGACAUCUAUAAAAUCACCAACCCAUAAGAUCGACUGGUCACAGGAGACGGUGAGAAAGAGGACAUAUACCAAAACAUCUCAGACCCCUAAGGGAGAGCAGUCACAAGAGAUGGUAAUAAAGAGGAAAUAUACAAAAAAAACACAGAGCCAUAAGGGAGACAAGCCACAGGAGACUGUGAGAAAUGGGAAAAAGACAACUAUGAAAUCACCAACUCAUCAGGUAGCCCAGUCACAAGAGUUUGUAACAAAAAGGACAAAGGUGUCUAAAAUAUCUUCGACCCACAAGGUAGACCACUCACAAGAAACUGUGAAAAAGAGGAAAUAUACAAAAAAAUCACAGACUCAGGAGGAGACUGGAAAAAAUACAUUGAUGAAAUCACUGACGAAUAAGGUAAGCAAGGUGGCAUCGAAAAAAUCACAAAGCCAUACGGUAGAACAGUCACUGGGGAUUGACCAAUCACAAGAGACCGUGAGAAAGAGGAACUACACACAAAAAUCACAGAAGCAUAAGGAGGACUCGCAUGAGACUGUGAGAAAUGGGGAAAAGACAUCCAAAAAAUCACAGAAGCACAAGGUAGAGUUACGAGACACGGAACAGUCACAGGAGGAGACUGUAAAAAAAAGGAAAUAUACUAAGAAAUCAAAGACCCACAAGGUAGACUCAGGAGUCCUCUCAUUACUCCCUGUGUUAUCUGCAGACCUCUCCCCCAACCUUUCCUCUCCCACAUUCAGCCCUCCUGGGCUCCCAAAGAGAAAAUAUACAAAAAAAUCGCUGACCCUCAAGGUAGACUCAGAUGUCCCAUCCUCACUCAUUGUACUGUCUGCAGACCUCUCCUCCAGCCUGCAGAGUAGCCUCUCUCCUACUCUCAGCCCUUCUGGCAUCCCCUUCUCACCAAACGCACCUAAGAGAGUCAGAGGCAGACCUCAGCGGGUCCAGCAGCAGCUUUUUCUUAGCUCCACGCCAGGCCCUCACCCCAGAUCCUCCACAGGAACAGACAACCCCUUCUCUGCCUCCCUGUCUCACCUGGGACCGGGCUCCAAGACAGAGGGCCCCCAGAACGCCUCACCCAUCACCCCCUGGAAGCUGUUGGAACUAAGCCCUCUGGAGAAGGUACUGUAUUAUCAUCUUCAUCACUGA
ensembl:lncRNA